AGAGUUUGAUCCUGGCUUAGAAUCAACGCUGGCGGCGUGCCUAACACAUGCAAGUCGAACGAGAAAGUGGAGCAAUCCAUGAGUAAAGUGGCGACCGGGUGAGUAACACGUGACUACCUACCCUCGAGUGGGGAAUAACUCCGGGAAACCGGGGCUAAUACCGCAUAACAUCGCAAGAUCAAAGCAGAAAUGCGCUUGAGGAGGGGGUCGCGGCUGAUUAGCUAGUUGGUAAGGUAACGGCUUACCAAGGCAAAGAUCGGUAUCCGGCCUGAGAGGGCGCACGGACACACUGGAACUGAAACACGGUCCAGACUCCUACGGGAGGCAGCAGUGGGGAAUUUUGCGCAAUGGGGGAAACCCUGACGCAGCAACGCCGCGUGGAGGAUGAAGCCCUUUGGGGCGUAAACUCCUUUCGACCGGGACGAUAAUGACGGUACCGGUGGAAGAAGCACCGGCUAACUCUGUGCCAGCAGCAGC
rnacentral:rRNA from 1 species